GUCUUUUGGUUUGUAUUAUGGGGUAUGUUGAUUGGAAAAAAAGGAGAAAUGUUGGGUUGUUUUGAGGGUAAAAAAUGUAGGGCACCUUGGGCAAACAAACGACCAAAGCGCCCUACGGGUGCGACCAGGGGGUGUAAAAAAGGACAGUGGUGUUCACUGAUGAUCCUUCCGCAGGUUCACCUACGGAAA
rnacentral:misc_RNA from 1 species